rnacentral:ncRNA from 2 species
UCUUCUGCCUCGGGGCGUCGGACCUCUCCGGCUGAGAAGCACCCGCGGAACCUGAUCCGGAUCACACCGGCGGAGGGAAGGCGACAACCGGACCG